rnacentral:rRNA from 1 species
CACGUAGGGCGCAAGCGUUGUCCGGAAUUAUUGGGCGUAAAGAGCUCGUAGGCGGUCUGUUGCGUCUGCUGUGAAAACCCGGGGCUUAACCCUGGGCUUGCAGUGGAUACGGACAGACUAGAGGUAGGUAGGGGAGAAUGGAAUUCCCGGUGUAGCGGUGAAAUGCGCAGAUAUCGGGAGGAACACCAAUAGCGAAGGCAGCUCGCUGGGACGUUACUGACACUGAGGCGCGAAAGCGUGGGGAGCGAACAGG